rnacentral:tRNA from 1 species
AGUAAUUUAGUUUAUUAAAACAUUAAAUUGCAAGUUUAAAUUUCUAUUUA